CCUGCUCCUAGGGUCGUUGCAGGUAAUGGCUUCUGGGUCACGUGUGGGUCAGUAGGUGGCAGAGAGGAGAAAGGCUAUGUCUACGCUAGUGCUCUGACCUAUGAACAUCUGAACAGUUAGGAGCCUAACAUU
ensembl:snoRNA Gm25562 small nucleolar RNA SNORA17